AGGACGAACGCUGGCGGCGUGCCUAACACAUGCAAGUCGAACGAGGUCCAACCAGUGGCAACACUGGGGACGACCUAGUGGCGAACGGGUGAGUAACACGUGAGGAACUUGCCCCGGAGACCGGGAUAACCCUUCGAAAGGAGGGCUAAUACCGGAUGUCCUCCCCGAGCCGCAUGGCUUGGUGAGGAAAUGGAUUCCGCUCCGGGAGAGCCUCGCGGCCUAUCAGCUAGUUGGUGGGUAACGGCCACCAAGGCAUCGACGGGUAGCUGGUCUGAGAGGACGAUCAGCCACACUGGGACUGAGACACGGCCCAGACUCCUACGGGAGGCAGCAGUGGGGAAUCUUGCGCAAUGGGCGAAAGCCUGACGCAGCAACGCCGCGUGCGGGAUGGAAGGCCUUCGGUUGUAAACCGCUUUCAGUGGGACGAACCAAGACGGUACCACAGAAGAACGCCCGCCAACUACGUGCCAGCAAGCCGC
rnacentral:rRNA from 1 species